AUUGAACGCUAGCGGCAUGCCUUACACAUGCAAGUCGAACGGAGUGGCGAACGGGUGAGUAAUGUAUCGGAACGUGCCCCGUAGCGGGGGAUAACUACGCGAAAGCGUAGCUAAUACCGCAUACUAUUGGAGCGGCCGCAAGGGGCAUAGCUAGUUGGUGGGGUAACGGCUAGCCAAGGCGACGACCCGUAGCUGGUUGGAGAGGACGACCAGCCACACUGGGACUGAGACACGGCCCAGACGCCUACGGGAGGCAGCAGUGGGGAAUUUUGGACAAUGGGGGAAACCCUGAUCCAGCCAUCCCGCGUGUGCGAUGAAGGCCUUCGGGUUGUAAAGCACUUUUGGCAGGAAAGCGGUACCUGCAGAAUAAGCACCGGCUAACUACGUGCCAGCAGCCGCGGUAAUUC
rnacentral:rRNA from 1 species